GAGGCAUAGGACAUUCAUCAUUGUCAUUAUUGCAGUAAUAGGAACUACCAUUAUCAACGUCACUUGUGCAUACUUCUUAUGGAAAUGGAAAGCAAAACAUUUAGCAGGAAAAUGGAAUAACAAAACAAGUGGCAGUAUUAGUGGAAAAUUGUCACAAGUUAAGUUUCAGGAGUUAUUGGUCUACGAUGUUGAAAAGGUUGCAAUGGCUACAAACACCUUUCAAUUGACUAAUAAACUUAGGCAAGGCGGUUUCUCUCCAGUCUAUAAGGAAUAUGAUUUCAUGAAUUAUUGAUCAGUUUAAUUCCAAAAAUUCAAAUUCGUUAUGUAUGACAGUUGUUUCAUGGGGUUGUCAUCAAGGGAACACUGCAAGAUGGUCAGGUUAUAGCAGUUAAGAGAUUAUAAAGAGCAUCGGGACACGGACAAGAGGAAUGCAUGAAUGAGCUGGUUGUCAUUUCCAAGCUUCAACAUCACAAUCUUGUACAACUUUUAGGUUGCCGUAUUGAAGGAGAAGAAAAGAUGUUGAUCUAUGAGUACAUUCAAAUAAAAGUUUAGAUGCAUUUA